UAACUUCAUUUUUUGCGGAUAUCGGAACGGGAUGUAUUUGCGGACUAGAUUUCCUUUAGAUAUAGCACUGUCUGUUUUACACAAAACCUUAAAAAUAGAGAUUGACAUAUGCGAUUUUAAUUUCCAUCCAUUGCCAUACGUAAGUUAUGCUGUUUUUUCUUCCUGUGAACUCAGACGGAAAUUUUCUAGGUUUUUUUCGCUAGCGUAUCGCUUUUUCACAGGCGUCCCCCGUGAAAUAAAUUUCAUUCCAGUUUGUACUGGAUCGUACGCUUACUUUUAUUAAUUGUUCCCAAAAACUUUAGACACAGCAGUUCAAUUCGGAAAUAUCUACUGAAGGAAUUCAAAUUUUCCUGUUUGUGUCUAAGGUGUACACCCAACGAAAACUUGGUGACAACAUUUCCUCCUCCUUCACGGAAAUCCUUCAGGACAAACAACAGAGUGAAGUCUUCUACGAGCUCGGGUUACUUACGCGAAAAAAUCAUCGUUCCACAUCUCUGUAGCGUCAGCAUCCGCAACACCGCCUCCAACCGACGAGCCGCUGGGGGCGCUCCUUCCCGGCUGAGCACUAUCGAAGUCUUUGAGCGCAUCUACAGAUUGCAAUGUUUAAAAUUAUGUAACAAAAGUCCAAACUGAGUAACAAACUGUCAAGCAGAUCGUUGAGCUCUUUUUCAUCAACAUCGGGCUUUGCUUUCUUAUCGUCAGACAUUCUAAAAUAAAUUGAAUAUCGAAUACAACGCACUGCUUUAAAUUAUGACGGAAAUUACUCGCGGCAGACAAAGUCGUAACUUUCAACACGAUAGGGUUCACCGCGAAAA